CCUAGUAUUUGGACACUCUUCACAAUMAAUAUAAUGUUCAAACAAAAGAUGAUCAUACUUCUUUGUUCAUUCUUUAGUUUUUCAUUUGAAGGGAGGAGUUAUUUAGUAGGUAGYAAGMAUAUAUUCUGUAACUAGAUUCACUUUCAUCAAAUAUUUAAAUUGUUGAUCAUUUACAUUGCAAAGUUGAGGUUCAUGUCAUUUCUGGUUUGUUUGCUUUGGUGGCUUUUAUUUCUUCUAUUUGGUUUUGCAUUGGCUUACAACACAACACAAUGUUGAUAUUAAAGACUUCAAAACUACACGUUAAGUGAUAUUCCAUAGCAUCUUAAAUGACAAUUUUAUAUUGAAUCGAAGUUGCGAUUCACAAUCAUGUAUAAGUUUUUGGAGAUGUUGUCCAUGUAAUUUCGAUUUUACUUUGGGUGGAGGUUGAUGAGUGGGCAGGAAAUGUGAAUGUGAAUCAUGGUAGAUUUACUUGGGAAAACUAUUUGUGAAUUAUUUAUUUAUAAAUAAGAAAGAACUUAGUGAUGGCAUAUUUCUAGUCAUUYGGAGCUUAGCUACUAUAAUUGACAAUGUGCCAAAUCUCGCUUGUUCUUUAUGUGAGAUGGUCUUUGCAGGUACUGGUUUCUUCAUUUAGCGAGAUAAGCGAGGAUGAAUAUCUUGAUCCUAGGACUGCACAAGUUGGUAAAGUUGACCAUGUCAAACAAAUUUGUACAGAAAUUAGACCAGCUAGAGAUGAGGAACUUCCAACUCCCUACAUAGAAGAUUAUCGAUGUGCGCUGGAUGCUGAAGUUUCAAAGUACGUGGCAGAAUCUUAUCCAAAAGGUGUCUGCUCGGUUUACUGUACGAGUGGAAAAGAUGUGGAAGAACCUGGAUUCGAUUUUGAACUUGUUGUGUUAAUUACAGCUAYGCGACUCAGCCCACAAAACUUUUGCAAUGGAAGUUGGCGCUCAAUAUGGAACAUUGAAWUYAUGGAUGAACUACAAACUGUGGAAGUAAGAGGAAAAAUGCAGGUGGGUGCUCACUAUUUUGAAGAAGGGAAUGUCCAGCUUGAUGCACAGCAUGAAUGCAAGGAUUCAACUAUGUUUCAGGUUACUAUGACAAAUUCAGCUGAACUCACCUGCACGUUCUGUAGGAUCUUGAGAUCAUACAAUGGUCCACAUAGCAUAUACCUACUGGAAGAGCAUCUUAGUUUCUGUUGGCUUUCGUGGUGAAUCUACACCAACUAGCAUCAUGGGUGGAGCUAUCCAAAUUGCUUGUGAAAUCAUGAUUUUUGUAUUGGCGUAUCGCCAGAUGAUUCUUCUUUUUCAUUGGCAAACAUUAUUCGUCACCAUGAGACAGAGUAUAUGAGUUCUCUUGAGACAUCUUAUUCCAAUUUGCCAGAUUCAACAUUCAAGGAUCUCCGUAGGAAGCUUCCAGUUACUCGUACAUUAUUCCCUUGGCACAACACUAUGCAAUUUAGCCUCACAAGAGAUAUCACAAAAGAGCUGGGAAUCGAGAAGUAGAACAAAGGUUGAUUUGGGUUUUCUGAUCUUGAAACCAAAAUUGUUKCAUGUUUUGCUGAACAAGCAUGUGUUAGUUUCCUCCUGUUCCUUUGUUUUGUUCCUGAUGAUAUUGUUGUGUUAAAUUCUUUUUGAUUAGUUGCCGCUUUGGACAUGUUUAGGGAAGUUUUCUUGUUCCUACUUAACACAAAAUUGACAUUCAAACUUGAAACUUGAUAACUAAAACAUGUCAUAUUGGCGGCUGGCCUU